CAGCAGCCGCGGUAAUACAGAGGGUGCAAGCGUUAAUCGGAUUUACUGGGCGUAAAGGGCGCGUAGGUGGUUAUGUAAGUGAGAUGUGAAAUCCCCGGGCUCAACCUGGGAACUGCAUCUUAUACUGCGUAGCUGGAGUGCAGUAGAGGGUAGUGGAAUUUCCGGUGUAGCGGUGAAAUGCGUAGAUAUCGGAAGGAACACCAGUGGCGAAGGCGGCUACCUGGACUGACACUGACACUGAGGCGCGAAAGCGUGGGGAGCAAACAGGAUUAGAUACCCGUGUAGUCCCUGUCUCUUAUAC
rnacentral:rRNA from 1 species